AACCUUUUUAAUACAAAUGCAAAUCCUUCUGUGCCAAAAAUUAUCUUCUAAUUAUAACUGUUAACAUUCCCAAAAAAACAACACAGUUACCAGUGAUUAUUCAUCAUUCCUUUCCCCAAUGCAUCUCUCUGAUAUGAAUUUUUCUUUGCUGGAACCCAUUUGUGAGAUGCUUAUGAUGUGACUGGAAACACUUUCUUUUGCAGGAGUUGAGGGCAUUGGAGAUGUUAAUGCAGUGAAGCUGGUAACUAAGUUUGGUUCCUUAGAGAAUCUACUGAGAUCUGUGGAUGAAGUCGGAGAUGAAAGAAUUAAACAGGCCACACUGCGUUCUAAUCUUCCUUGUUAUAUGGUUCCUUUCAAGAUAGCUGACCUUGUAUUUCAGAAGUCGCAGGUGACUUAAAACUUGGCACCAUAUCUUUUUAGUUACUACAGCUAAAAGUGCGCUCAUUUUAUGCUUCUCCCUGGAUAAAUUCCUGUCACUUACUGUUACUGCCUCAGGAUGAUGGGACAAAAUUCACAAAGCUCG